AUUGAACGCUAGCGGGAUGCCUUACACAUGCAAGUCGAACGGAGUGGCGAACGGGUGAGUAAUGUACCGGAACGUGCCCAGUCGCGGGGGAUAACUACGCGAAAGCGUAGCUAAUACAGCAUACUCUUUGCGCGGCCGAUAUCGGAUUAGCUAGUUGGUAGGGUAACGGCGGACCAGGGCGACGAUCCGUAGCUGGUUUGAGAGGCCGACCAGCCACACUGGGACUGAGACACGGCCCAGACUCCUACGGGAGGCAGCAGUGGGGAAUGUUGGACAAUGGGGGAAACCCUGAUCCAGCAAUGCCGCGUGAGUGAUGAAGGCCUUCGGGUUGUAAAGCACUUUUGGCAGGAAAGCGGUACCUGCAGAAUAAGCACCGGCUAACUACGUGCCAGCAGCCGCGGUAAUUC
rnacentral:rRNA from 1 species